GCGCAGGUGGCGAAAUUGGUACACGCAUACGCUUGAGGUGCGUACGCCGCAAGGCUUGGGGGUUCGAGUCCCCCCCUGCGCACAA
rnacentral:tRNA from 2 species